rnacentral:misc_RNA from 1 species
AGAUAUCAAGUCGCCUAAGUUCGUCACCCUGUGUUCUUGUUGCUGGAAAGUUUGGUUGGUCUGCCAACAUGGAGAGGCUGAUGAAGGCACAAACUGUUGGCGAUACCUCUAGUUUGGACUUCAUGAGAAGCAGAAGGGUGUUUGAAGUUAACCCGGAGCACCCAAUUAUUAAAAACCUGGAUGCUGCAUACAAGAGUAACCCCAACGAUGAAGAUGCUUUGAGAGCCAUUGAUCUUCUGUAUGAUGCAGCUUUAGUUUCCAGUGGCUUUACGCCUGAAAAUCCAGCCCAGCUUGGUGGCAAGAUAUAUGAGAUGAUGGGUAUGGCACUUUCCGGCAAGUGGUCGGGUGCUCAAUCGCAACCAUUAGAAGCAGAAGUAGUUGAACCGGUCGAAGCUGACAGCCAAAAGUGAGUAUUGGACAUAGGAGGCCGUAUUUAGUAGUACAUGAUGUACGAGAAAUUUU